ACCCGCUGAACUUAAGCAUAUCAAUAAGCGGAGGAAAAGAAACCAACAGGGAUUGCCCUAGUAACGGCGAGUGAAGCGGCAACAGCUCAAAUUUGAAAUCUGGCGUCUUUGGCGUCCGAGUUGUAAUUUGCAGAGGGCGCUUUGGCAUUGGCAGCGGUCCAAGUUCCUCGGAACAGGACGUCACAGAGGGUGAGAAUCCCGUACGUGGUCGCUAGCCUUUACCGUGUAAAGCCCCUUCGACGAGUCGAGUUGUUUGGGAAUGCAGCUCUAAAUGGGAGGUAAAUUUCUUCUAAAGCUAAAUACUGGCCAGAGACCGAUAGCGCACAAGUAGAGUGAUCGAAAGAUGAAAAGCACUUUGGAAAGAGAGUUAAAAAGCACGUGAAAUUGUUGAAAGGGAAGCGCUUGCAGCCAGACUUGCCUGUAGUUGCUCAUCCGGGUUUUUACCCGGUGCACUCUUCUAUAGGCAGGCCAGCAUCAGUUUGGGCGGUUGGAUAAAGGUCUCUGUCAUGUACCUCUCUUCGGGGAGAACUUAUAGGGGAGACGACAUGCAACCAGCCCGGACUGAGGUCCGCGCAUCUGCUAGGAUGCUGGCGUAAUGGCUGU
rnacentral:rRNA from 1 species